UAGGGAAUCUUCCACAAUGGACGAAAGUCUGAUGGAGCAACGCCGCGUGAGUGAUGAAGGGUUUCGGCUCGUAAAACUCUGUUGUUGGAGAAGAACGGGUGUCAGAGUAACUGUUGACAUCGUGACGGUAUCCAACCAGAAAGCCACGGCUAACUACGUGCCAGCAGCCGCGGUAAUACGUAGGUGGCAAGCGUUGUCCGGAUUUAUUGGGCGUAAAGCGAGCGCAGGCGGUUUUUUAGGUCUGAUGUGAAAGCCUUCGGCUUAACCGGAGAAGUGCAUCGGAAACCGGGAGACUUGAGUGCAGAAGAGGACAGUGGAACUCCAUGUGUAGCGGUGAAAUGCGUAGAUAUAUGGAAGAACACCAGUGGCGAAGGCGGCUGUCUGGUCUGCAACUGACGCUGAGGCUCGAAAGCAUGGGUAGCGAACAGGAUUAGAUACCCUGGUAGUCCAUGCCGUAAACGAUGAGUGCUAAGUGUUGGAGGGUUUCCGCCCUUCAGUGCUGCAGCUAACGCAUUAAGCACUCCGCCUGGGGAGUACGACCGCA
rnacentral:rRNA from 1 species